rnacentral:rRNA from 1 species
AACAAACGCUGGCGGCGUGCCUAAUACAUGCAAGUCGAACGGGGAAAGCUUUCGGGUGAGUACUAGUGGCGCACGGGUGAGGAACGCGUGGAUAAUCUGCCUUAAAGUGGGGGAUAACUAGUCGAAAGAUUAGCUAAUACCGCGUAAGACCACGGGAGCUGCGGCUCUAGGGGUCAAAGGUUUUUCGCUCUAAGAUGAGUCCGCGUAAGAUUAGCUAGUUGGUGAGGUAACGGCUCACCAAGGCGACGAUCUUUAACUGGUCUGAGAGGAUGGUCAGUCACACUGGAACUGAGACCCGGUCCAGACUCCUACGGGAGGCAGCAGUAGGGAAUAUUGCACAAUGGAGGAAACUCUGAGGCAGCGACGCCGCGUGAGUGAUGAAGGCCUUCGGGUCGUAAAGCUCUGUCGCAGGGGAAUAACACAAUGAAUGUACCCUGUAAGAAAGGAUCGGCUAACUUCGUGCCAGCCGCCGCCGUAAUAC